rnacentral:rRNA from 1 species
AAUUAACGCUGGCGGCAUGCCUAACACAUGCAAGUCGUACGAGAAAGCCCGGUUCGCCGGGCGAGUAAAGUGGCGCACGGGUGAGUAACGCGUGGAUAAUCUACCUCUAUCUGGGGGAUAACCCAUCGAAAGGUGGGCUAAUACCGCAUAUUCCGGCUGGUUUUCGGACUGGUCGGCAAAGGUGGCCUCUUGAUCAAAGCUACCGGGUAGAGAUGAGUCCGCGUCCCAUUAGCUAGUUGGUAGGGUAAUGGCCUACCAAGGCUCCGAUGGGUAGCUGGUCUGAGAGGACGAUCAGCCACACUGGAACUGGUACACGGUCCAGACUCCUACGGGUGGCUG